rnacentral:ncRNA from 1 species
GAAGAUAGAGGCGCGCCCGGUCAAGAGUACCGCGCACCAGGCCGGCCGACGGAGGAUCCCAAGCAGACGGGACCAUCCGGGCCGCGCGGGAAAGGGAAGGGCGCCGAAGCGGUUUUUCCCCGGCAGGGAGAGCCGCUGGCCGGAGCGGAGAAGAUCCCUUCGGCUGUCGCAGAAAUGCGGAGCGCUAUC